GUAGCUCAGUGGUAGAGUGCUUGCCUUGCAUGCAUGAGGACCUGGGUUCGAUUCCUCAGC
rnacentral:tRNA from 1 species